ensembl:lncRNA
GUGCUGUCCAAUAGAGAAGACUUAAAGGAACCACACCUGACCAAAGGCAAGGUGAGAUUGAGCCAUGAGUCCUGGCCUCCUGGGACACAUCCCUGGCCUGACUUUGUCAAGGGGCAAGAAAGAUGCCUGCAUCUGCUUAAAGAAUUGGGACAGAGUGAGAGUCUGGUUAAACCACAUGCCACAGAGGUGCAGUCUGCAUCCCCUGCAGUUCCUGACCUGGACCCUGGGAGGUCACCUUUUCUCAAGCGGCUGGAGUUUCGCGUGCCAGUGUUCGCAGUAGCUGGGCGGGAUCGUGCUGGUUUCACUCGCUCUUUCUGGACCGUGGCAGCCUGGAGCCUCUUGAGCUCCAUCAGACGAGCCACCAUAGGAGCAAGGCAAGGGUCGCUCAGCAGCCUCUGUUGGCCCUCAGGCCCUGCUGUAGAGGACAUACCAGGAGUGAAGUCCAGACAUUUGAGAGGUGCAGGAAGAACCUCCGGAUAAACCUGUGCUGUCUCUGGUGAACAAGCACAGUCUAGGUCUGUCUCAAAUGGCUCUGGUCUGAGGUUCAAGUCCACAGGUGCCGCCCCCUUGGAGACCUGAACACUUUCUUUCUCCUGAUCUGAAAGAUCACUGUUGUCGGAGUGGAACUGGAAUGGCACUGCUGUGUCAUUAGUUGAACGUGUGUCGUUCACUUCCACCUCAGGAAUUCCAGUAUCGGAGAUGGGUGAGCCCUUCAUUCUCUCCACGUUUCCUCCUCUUCUGUCUCUCAGAGCAACUGUGGGACUGGCUUGUAUGGGGGUGAUUUUCAGUGGGGGCUCAGUCUUAAAUACAUCCUGGCUAUGUCCAGUUGUGUACACGUCCCUCGUCCUGGUAGCAGAGUGUGGAAGACCAAGUCUCUUCCAACGGUGGGUCAGCGUCCUCAGCUGGUUGUUGUGGUGAUGCCUCAGACUAAAGGGCAUAACGCAGUGUCCCACAAUUGAUUAAAUUGCAGAUCUUAUUCAGUUCAGCCACAGGUUAAGGUGGCAGUCAAAGCCAACACACCUUGAUGCCAGGACAGGUGGUGUAUGUUUCUGAUGUAUUCUGCACACUUUAAAAGCACAGUUGGAGAUGAGCUGGCAGCGUUAGUAAUCAAAAGCCCUUUACUAAAUAGGCUAUUGUCAUUUCCACAGAUGGUAGCUAAUAUCACACACUUACAGCUUCCCAUAAUG